rnacentral:rRNA from 1 species
GACGAACGCUGGCGGCGUGCCUAAUACAUGCAAGUCGAGCGAGCGGAACUAACAGAUUUACUUCGGUAAUGAGGUGAGGAAAGCGAGCGGCGGAUGGGAGAGUAACACGUGGGGAACCUGCCCCAUAGUCUGGGAUAGCACUUGGAAACAGGUGCUAAUACCGGAUAAGAAAGCAGAGGGCAGGAUCAGCGUUUAAAAGGCGGCGUAAGCUGUCGCUAUGGGAUGGCCCGGCGGUGCAUUAGCUAGUUGGUAAGGUAAAGGCUUACCAAGGCGAUGAUGCAUAGACGAGUUGAGUGACUGAUCGGCCACCUGAGGACUGAGCCACGGCCCUAACUCCUACGGGAGGCAGCAGUAGGGAAUCUUCCACAAUAGACGCAAGUCUGAUGGAACAACGCCGCGUCAGUGACGACGGUUUUCGGAUCGUAAAGAUCUGUUGUUGGUGAAGAAGGAUAGAGGUAGUAACUGGCCUUUAUUUGACGGUAAUCAACCAGAAAGUCACGGCUAACUACGUG